AAUCCUAGUGCAGGGAGAAGUCGGUCUUGACAAGCAUACCCACACUAAGUGAUGGGGGUCGGAGAGACCCCAAUGUGGGCAGACCCUGUCCUCAGCACGCUCAUCAAGACUGGCUUCUACCUGGACUAGGACUCC